rnacentral:rRNA from 1 species
CCUACGGGGGGCUGCAGUAGGGAAUAUUGGGCAAUGGAAGGAAUUCUGACCCAGCCAUGCCGCGUGCAGGAAUACAGUCCUAUGGACUUUAAACUGCUUUUAUUAUAGAGUAACCUGGGGGACGCGUCCCCCACUGCAAGUAUAUAAUGAAUAAGCAUCGGCUAACUCCGUGCCAGCAGCCGCGGUAAUACGGGGGAUGCAAGCGUUAUCCGGAUUUAUUGGGUUUAAAGGGUGCGCAGGCUGAUCGGUAAGUCAUGGGUGAAAAGUCACUGCUUAACAGUGAUCGUGCCUAUGAUACUGCCGGACUAGAGUUUAAGAGGUGUAACUGGAAUGUGAUGUGUAGCGGUGAAAUGCUUAGAUAUGUCACAGAACGCCAAUCGUGAAGACAGGUUACAAACUUAAUACUGACGCUCAUGCACGAAAGCGUGGGGAUCAAACAGGAUUAGAUACCCCAGUAGUC